rnacentral:misc_RNA from 1 species
GAUGAAGAACGUAGCGAAAUGCGAUACGUAAUGUGAAUUGCAGAAUUCAGUGAAUCAUCGAAUCCUUGAACGCAUAUUGCGCUCUUUGGUAUUCCGAAGAGCAUGCUUGUUUGAGUAUCAGUAAACACCUCAAAAGAUUUUCAUUUUUGAAAUGAUUUUGGACUUGAGCAAUCCCAACACUAGUCUUCACGGAUCGGCGGAGGGUUGCUUGAAAUGCAGGUGCAGCUGGACAUUCUCCUGAGCUAAAAGCAUAUCUAUUUAGUCCCGUCAAACGGAUUAUUACUUUUGCUGCAGCUAACAUAAAGGGAGUUUGACCAUUUUGGCUGACUGAUGCAGGAUUUCACAAGGGUCGGUAAAACGAUUUUUGUAUAACUCGAUCUCAAAUCAAGUAAGACUACCCGCUGAACUUAAGCAUAUCAAUAAGCGGAGGA